GGACCCGCACAAGCAGUGGAGCAUGUGGUUUAAUUCGAAGCAACGCGAAGAACCUUACCAAGUCUUGACAUUCCCCCGAAUACACGGCAAAACGUGUAGCCCUUCGGGGCGGGGGUAACAGGUGGUGCAUGGUUGUCGUCAGCUCGUGUCGUGAGAUGUUGGGUCAAGUCCCGCAACGAGCGCAACCCUUAUGGCCAGUAGCCAGCAGGCAAAGCUGGGCACUCCGGCCAGACUGCCCGGGAUAACCGGGAGGAAGGUGGGGAUGACGUCAAAUCAUCAUGCCCCUUAUGAUUUGGGCAACACACGUGCUACAAUGGCGUAAACAAAGGGAUGCAAGAGGGCGAUCUCAAGCGAAACCCAAAAAAUACGUCUCAGUUCGGACUGUAGUCUGCAACUCGACUACACGAAGCCGGAAUUGCUAGUAAUCGCGAAUCAGCAUGUCGCGGUGAAUACGUUCCCGGGUCUU
rnacentral:rRNA from 1 species